GGAACACAUUUUUAAAUAAUCAGUUUGUCAGCACCUACAGGAUAAUUUGGUUCUUAGGACUAGUGAGCAUGGAUUUCUCUGUCUCUUGGCAAUAAGACAAACUCUUGUUUUCACAGCCAGUCGAUCGCCCAGUGUCAUCACCCUGCCUGCUGGCUGGGCAGAGUAACUCCUCAGGUCACCACCCUCUCCACCCUGCCUUGGGCUUGGAGAGUGAGGAGGAGGGCAAGGGACAUCUGGCAACCCUGAACAUCCGCCAUCCAUCGCUCCAUCACCUAGAGCAAGGCUGACCAUCCAUGAGGCCGAAGACCUGUGGUGUUGGGACUGGCACCAGGACAGCUGGCUCCUGGGCUACAGGAACACAACCAGUGUGGGGGAGGUCUUUGGAAAGUUCUUCUCAGAGGAGUAGAGAAGAUUCUUCCUCCGGACAACAGUGCUGGCCAUUCACGACCCCCUGCUGCGUGUCAGCCAGGCUGGGCUGCUCCUUGCCUACUCCGUCCUGGGGGAAGCCCAACAGCUGAUGGGGGACAAACAGGAGGACAUCACGGCCAAUGUGAUGCACCAGCUCCACAUCAUCCGGCACUUGCGCCGGAUGCCCGAGGCACUGCAGGGGCUGUGCCUCUGAGGCCACCAGCAGCUCCCGCUUCCUGCUGCAGGUACUGCUCUGGCUCCCUGUAAAUGGGGAGCUAGUGGAAGAGGAAAUGGAGCCCCCAGCACUCACAGAAACUUUCUCCCCUCUCUAUGGAGCAGGGUCCUUCCCUCUGCCCCCCAAAUUCCUUCAUCUCACACCCACUCCCCUCCCUCCUUUCCUUGGUCUACUCCCAUCCCAUUCCCCCUGAUCCCAGGCAGAGCUCUCCCUGCCCCAUAUGGUGCAGAAGGGCUGUUGUGUCAGGCCACACCCCUAGCCCCACUGAAGCUUGGAAAGCUCCAUUUUUGAGGAGGUAGGGGUGGGACAGAGGCUCAGGACUAGCUUCACCUCCUGCCCUUUAUUCUCCCCUUGGCCCUUCUAUGGGGUCUCUGAGUGUAAAAUGAAUAGGAGCCUCCUUCCCAGCUGUCUUCCAGGCCCUGGGAUCUGUCACAGCCUCCCAGAUGGGUGCACCCUGCAGCUGAGCCACCUCCAGGAGCAGUGGGGACAGAUCACCUUGUCCCAUCAAAGCAAGCAAUGCUGGGUCUCAAAGAGGCUUAGAUGGAAGAACCCGCUCCCUCAUGGAGGAAGGAGGCUCCCCAGAGAUGUCCUUGAACCUGCACUCCUGAGAGCGUUUCCAGCUCCACUUCCUGCAGCAGGGCAAAUGAACCCUUCAGCUCCCAGAAUCCCAGCUCUUUGACCUCUUUCCGCUGAGCCGUGGGGUUUCUCCAGCCCCCUCACCACACCUGUCAGCCUCUGAAUGAUGAAGGGCCUGAAUGUCAGAGUCACCAGAACAAGCAAACUCCAGUUCCAGGCAGUGGAGCCUGUGUGUAUUCAGCCCCUCUGGAAACCAGGUCUGAAAUGGGGAGCAAAGACCCCAGCUCAGGAACAGUAGGAGUGAGCAGAGCAGGCCUGUAACACUCUGAUGGGUGUUAAACUCGCUGCUUGGCAUCUCUUCACGGCUGGGCGUGGCGUAGCAGCUCUCUCCCUCUUGGGGUGGCAGCUGCCUCUGUAACGCUGACAGAUGAUUACAGAAUGAACCCUAACUGAGAGGCACCAUGUACCUCCCCCUGAAGAGCCAGACUUCAGUGGUGAUACAGCCCAGCUGGGGUAUCAACUGGAAUGAGAACGAGGUAGGAAGUUCAGAGCAGCAAGGAAAGCCUAGAGGGGAACUUAAGAAGAGAGAUAGGAAGUGCCCAAGGAAAACUGCAGCAAAGAGAAAGGAGCAGACCAAGCUGUUGGGAACAGGGCCCUGGGCUGCUACCGAUGUGAGGGUGGGACUGGGUUCCCCUACUGGCCCCAAAGAAGGGGGCAUACACACACCCAUAGAGGGUUACCAAGCCCAGCAAGGGGUACAGGCUGAGCAAGAGCCCCAGCGAUGGCAGAAGGACUUCUUUCUGUCGAAAGACCUCUUCGGACUUUUAGUGUGAGACAAGCUGGGCCCCAGACGGGUGAAUUAAAAAGGUGGUCACCUGGCGGAGGGCUAAGUUACCAGGCAGAGAAACUGCCAUGGUGCUGGAGCGACCAUGGAUGGGGUACGCUAGCCCAGCAAGAGGGCUGUGAUGCCAUGCCUGGCUGCCAGGGGGGCACGUAACGAUGAGUAGAUUCAUUUAUGAUUGGCAUAGUCAGGAGGAUUGAUUUGACUGUAUUCAGUAAGGACCAGUAAGGAGGUUUUGGAACAAAUUGAUAAAUUAAACAGGAACAAGUCACCAGAACUAGAUGGUAUUCACCCAAGAGUUCUAAAGAAACUCAAAUGUGAGAUUGCAGGACUACUAACUAACUGUGGUAUGUAACCUAUCCUUUAAAUCAGCUUCUUUACCAGAUGACUGGAGGAUAGCUAAUAUGACACCAAUGUUUAAAAAAGGCUCCAGAGACGCUCUUGGAAUUACAGGCCACUAAGGCUAACUUCAGUACCAGGCAAAUUGGGUGAAAUUAUAGUAAAGAGCAGAAUUAUUAGACACAUAGAUAAACACAAUUUCUGGGGAAGAGUGAACACGGUUUUUGUAAAGGGAAAUUAUGCCUCACGAAUCAACAAGCAUUUGGAUAAAGGUGAUCCAGUGGAUAUAGUGUACUUAGAUUUUCAGAGAGCCUUUGACAAGGUCCCUCACCAAAGGCUCUGAAGCAAAAUGGGAUAAAAUGGAAGGUCCUUUCUGGGAUAGGUAACUGGUUAAAAGGCACGAAAGAAAGUGUCCGACUAAAAGGUCAGUUUUCAGAAUGGAGAGAGGUAAAUAGUGGUGUCCCUCAGGCAUCUGUACUGGGACCAGUACUGUUCUGGAAAAAGGAGUAAACAGUGAGGUGGCAACAUCUGCAGAUGAUACAAACCAACUCAAGUGAGUUAAGUCCAAAAGAGACUGCAAAGUGUGACAAAGGGAGCUCACCAAACUGGGUGACUGGGCAGCAAAAUGGCAGAUGAAAUUCAAUGUUGAUAAAUGCAAAGAAAUGCACAUUGAAAAACAUGAUCCC